rnacentral:rRNA from 1 species
CGUCUAUAUACGUAUAGCAUAUCAAUAAGCGGAGGAAAAGAAACUAACUAGGAUUCCCUCAGUAACGGCGAGUGAAGCGGGAAGAGCUCAAAUUUGAAAUCUUCAAGGUUCUACCUUGACGAAUUGUAGUUUAAAGAAGUGUUUUCUGUUGGAGUUUUGGUAAAAGUUCUUUGGAAUAGGACAUCAUAGAGGGUGAGAAUCCCGUAUUUGACCAUUAUUUCCAACUUUGUGAUACACUUUCAAAGAGUCGGAUUGUUUGGGAAUGCAGUCCAAAAUGGGUGGUAAAUUUCAUCUAAAGCUAAAUACUGGCGAGAGACCGAUAGCGAACAAGUACCGUGAGGGAAAGAUGAAGAGAACUUUGAAAAGAGAGUUAAACAGUACGUGAAAUUGUCAAAAGGGAAGCGUUUGACACCAGUGUUGUUUUCUCGAAAAUCAAUUAAAAAUGGCAGGAUUUUGUGUUGUAUUGACUUUAUCAGCUUUCUGCACUUUUUUCCUAUCUUUUUUAAUGCACUUUUCGUUUAACAAGUCAACAUCAAUUUCUUUUGUUGUAAAAGGGUCAUUGGAAGGUGGCUUUCUUUUCGGAGAAAGUGUUUAUAGCCUUUGACUUCUGCAAUCGGAGAGAUUGAGGUCUGCAGCGUAGAUCCUUCGGGGUUAGAUGCAUUUGUGCUAAGUUAUAGCCUUUCAUAGACAACUUGUUGACUAUGAUCAGUCAUGUAGCUUACUCGCUUAUGUCAGUUUACCUACGCUUAGGAUGUUGACGAUCAGCUGAGCGCG